UACGUAGGGUCCAAGCGUUAUCCGGAAUCACUGGGCGUAAAGCGUGUGUAGGCGGGUGUUUAAGUGAAAUGCGAAAUCUUGUGGCUCAACCAUAUAGACUGUGUUUCAUACUGGAUACCUUGAGGAUGGCAGAGGCAGGUGGAAUUGAUAGUGUAGCAGUGAAAUGCGUAGAUAUUAUCAGGAACACCAAUGGCGAAGGCAGCUUGCUGGGCCAUAUCUGACGCUGAGACACGAAAGCGUGGGGAGCGAACAGG
rnacentral:rRNA from 1 species